UACGGAGGAUGCAAGCGUUAUCCGGAAUGAUUGGGCGUAAAGGGUCCGCAGGUGGCUAUGUAAGUCUGCUGUUAAAGAGUCAUGCUUAACAUGAUAAGAGCAGUGGAAACUACAUAGCUAGAGUGCGUUCGGGGCAGAGGGAAUUCCUGGUGUAGCGGUGAAAUGCGUAGAUAUCAGGAAGAACACCGGUGGCGAAGGCGCUCUGCUAGGCCGCAACUGACACUGAGGGACGAAAGCUAGGGGAGCGAAUGGG
rnacentral:rRNA from 1 species